rnacentral:lncRNA from 1 species
UCUCCUUCAGCAGCCACAGGUUCCUUUAGCUCAGGCACGCUUUUCUGUGCAGACUCCAGUGUCCUUUUAUUUUCGUCCCAACCGCCAUCUCACCCCCCAGAGAGCCAUUUCGACAGUGGUGAUUUCAAUCUGGUUGGGAUUGACUUCGACAGUCCACAGCAGCUAGACAUGAGCCUGUCCUCGUCCCUUUCCUCUGGCUCCGCCCAGAUGCCAAGCCUUUAGGUCAAGAUGUAGAUGAGCAUUUCUGAAGGGUCAUGGUUGCGGGGAGGGUGGAUUUCGGGGCCAGUGAGGUGGGGGUGGAGGAGAUGGUGAACAGAAGGACAACACACCUGAGCAGGAUAUGACAACACACCUGGAGGGUCUACCUGUGUAUGGUACCAAGCUGGAGAUGACCCUGUUGAAAGACUACAACUUCAACGAUGCUCAUCUAGCAGACAUCAUCCACCUGAACAGCAGUUCUGAUUUGGAGGAGGAGAUGGAUGGAGGUGCAAUGGGAGAGAAUGAGUUUGUAGGUAUGAUCACUGCGGAGGCUCUGCAGGCCCUACAGGAGGCAGAGGGCAGCAGUAAUGAUGGCAACUCCAGCUCCAUUGGUGAUGGUGUCUGGAUGGUUGAAAUCCCAGUGGAAGAGGUAAGAAACUCAUUUCCAUUGAGGAAAAGAAGGGCGUCCUGUUCUCUUUGUCUUUCAAAAUAAGUAUUUGGGUCUGGUUUGCCGGACACAGAUCAAGCCUAGUCCGGGACAAACGAUGGGGAAUCUUCUUGACAAGUCCCCAUGCUGAUGAAACUGUACAAAAAUCAGUAGAUAUUGCUAUUUCAUUGUUUGACAGUAAUCACCUAACAGUAUUUGGGGCCUAGUAUGCCUUAUUGGCAUGAACAAAACCAGAGCGUUUAAUGCAAAACCAGAGCGUUUAACCCUAACACAAAUUAUUGUAUUUAUGUUGAAUACAUCAUUUAAACAUUCACAGUGUAGGUUGGAAAAAGUUUGAACCCCUAGGCUAAUGACUU